UGGAAUGAAUUAAUAUGUGUAUCUUUCCGAUAAGCCCAUUUGUCCGGCAAUGAUUUCUUCACCUAGUUGUGACAUGGAGAUGAUCAUGGAGAACAAAGUUAUGUAUGUAAUUUGGUAUUUAGUGUAGUUUACUUUUACGACAAAGUCUCAACAAUAGUUCAAAGCUGUGUAUUAUAUCCUGAAGGUUUUUAUUUUUUUAUUUUCCUUCAUUUCAGAUCCGUCUUCUAUAAAUUUCCUCCUUUUCAUCGUCACAUGCCUAAACCACUUGAUGGAGUCAUAAUGCCUGGAAAGGUAAACCAUGUUUAUUGCUUUACCAUAUUUUGCUUCUACAUUUAGUAGCAAGAAAUUUCAAGCCAAAAGAAAAAAUAAAUAAAUUAGAAUAUAUAAAAAGUACUGUUUUAAGGCAAGAAGAGUUUAGAUGAUAAUUAUUUCCUAUUUUUCUCCUGGUCGUGACAAACUGAGCUAACAUCCAUGGUGCAGGAAAUAACGUCUGUUAUACACGAUCCCAUAAGGAAAAGAAAUCAUUUCGUAUUCUUACACUGUUACCCAUGAAUACUCUUUUUUCAUCAAGAUAAAAAGGUAAUGACAGAUAAUUGUAACUUCUCACAAAUAAAUGCACGUAAACAAAGAGAUCUUGACUCUACUCAUUCGUUUGCUCUGUGGAUGGCUGCAAGAAUUUGUUGAAACUCAUCAAUCCUUGAUGAACACUGAACAUUUAAAAUCUAUCACACAACAAAUUCGUGGAUGUGGAUGGAUCUUUAAGUAUAGCAGUUUUAGUCACUGCCACUACCUUUUAGGACUGAUGCUUAGUUAUUUAACUAUUUCUAUCAUAAGAAAGUUUAAGAGUUGGGAUGCUAUUAAAAUUUUAUGAAGUAAAGAUUUUACAAUUUUUUGGGAUCAGCCUCUUAGCAUUUAUAUACGCACUACACAUUGAGGGGUUCGAUAGUGUAAAAUAAGGAAAGAGGGCAAAUACAUGCCAGCUUAAGAGCAUUCCAAAAGACCCAUUAGCAAGAAAGAUGCUCUUUAUUUUAAAGAGUCAAACCUUAAAAUUAGGCUCCAAAAAACUCUCUUUAAAACAGGAAGUGGGUUGGCUUAGUAUAUUUGGAGAGCCAAACCCACUUUCUAUUUGUAUUUUAUCAAGAUUAUAUACAUUAAUUGAAGAAUGAGGGAGAAAUAAGGAAUAUUGAGAAAAGCAAAAUUAAAGAGUUUGUUGGAGUGUGUAAACAAUUUGUUACAAAUUUAAAGAUGCUCUCUAAAAAUAAAGAGUGGAGAUGCUCUAAUUGGUUAAAAUAUUGUUUGGAAAAGGCAAAUGUCUAAUUCAAUAACAUUCAAAACUUUGAAAUUUGUAUCUGAAAACUGCAUUUUAUCUCUUAUGUGUCCCAUGUUUGAAAUUUACGCUCACUUCAGUUCUGCAUUCAAAUCUUUAUGUCUUGCAUAACAUACAUCUCCUCUAUUUUAUUUUAUUUUAUUUUUUUGACAGUUCGUCGGCAGGCACAACAUUUUACCUCCACCCAUCCUGUGGCAUGAGAAAACAAUGGUUCAGAGCAGAUUCUCAAGAAGGUGAUAGUUUUACUUUGUGCUUUAUGAGUGUGUGCCCAUGGAAACGCAAUCACAAGAGAGAUUAGUGAGGGGCAAGGUAUUAUAUGCUUGCUAAAAACAAUCUUUCAAGAGAGAGUAAAUAAGUAGUGGUGUGGGAUGUUUAUAAGUUACUAAUGAAAAUUCUCUGAUGGUCUUAUUGAUCUAGAUGGUUAACAACCUGAUUGGGCCGUUCUAAUUAGUUAGUUUUAAGAGGAGAUUGUAAACCAUAACUAAAAUAGGUAUCUUUAGGCAAUGCAAGCUCAUUUUUGCAAUUAAUAUCCAUAACCCUAAACGGAAUAAAUUUCGUUGCUUAGUGCAUGUUUGGCUCCUAUAUAAUUUAUAAACAUAAUUGGUUAAACUUAUUUUUUAUUCACAUUUCGUGGGACCCUAAAGUACUACUUAUAUCUAUUUAUAAUUUAGACCAAUAUAAAUCACUAUCCAAUAUGCAUUAAGUAAAUUUGUCAUGAAGAAUCUUGUUAGGAGCAUCGACUUGUAUAUGCAAUAUCAUUUCGUUAUUCCCAUAUAUUGCCUAAAAAGUGCAUCUGUUUUGAGUUUCCAUUUGGAAAUUGCAGAGAUUAUAUCUGUGUUAGUUUAGAGAAUAGUAGACUGAUACUUUUUGGUAUUCGAUACAUUCACAACUCAGUGAGAAUUGGACAUAUAUUUGGAAGUUUCGCCGACUAGCUUAUAUUCCUAUGUUUUUAUUUUUGUUUAUAAAUAAUUCCUUGCAAUCUCUGAUAUUUCUUCAAAUUUAUAUAGGCCCAUUCCACCCACGUCUGUUUCAGGACCUUGUAUGGCAAUAAUGGCCCAUCAGCUCGUAUCAGGAAACUAUGUCAGCAAGCAGUGUGAAGAUAUAGAUGGCAAAGGUGGAGAUAACGGCAAACUUGGGAAAAGGAAAUGUCAUGCUCCCGAUGAAAACAAAAAGAAGAAGAAGCAUCAACAUCAUAAUAAAAGGAGAAAAUUGAACAGAUCCUAGUGUUGCAGAAUCAUUUUCGAACUUCUGAUGCAUGUAGUGAAUGGUUCUGCACCAAAUGCUUGGAAGUAUGGCUUUGUCUCUAUCUAGGUUGGUCAUUUCACAAGAUUCCCGAGGCAUGGUGGAAGGGAAAAUGGAUAUUGUGCAGCUGCCCAACCAUCGACCAAGCAUAACCAGAUGGUUUGGCUUUCGAUUCGACAUGCCCUCAUAGCUAUUUUUGCUUGGUUGCGAUUGAAUUGAAGAUGGUAUAUAUGGUAUAUAUGUAAUCCUUUUGUUGUACUUUGGUUGUAAACAGAUCGAGGCUUUCUAAUGCCUGGGAUUCAGUUAUUUUAUUUUGUUUUUUUCUAAAACAAAUGUUAAAAGAGCAUAAUUACGAUUUUAUAUUUGUUCAAUUCAGCAAUGAAAAGCAAAAUAUUGCAAUCUGUAGGGAAUAAAACACUCCCAAGAUUGCCCAAGAAAGAUAACUUUCAUGGUCGCCUAGGUGCCAAGUUUCUGACCCAUUCUUGCACUGGCCAGCGCCUAGGCGCCUUGCUUCUUCUCCAUUUCUCACAAUUCUCCACCUCGUACAUCAUUUGAUAGACUUCAAAUUUUGGACGAACACGAGAAGAAGCAGUAAGCGCCAAACUCGGCUGCACCACUCAAACCAUGGUUGCCUACGUACCCAAAACUCGGGAUCAAGCCUCCGUAAUUCACCUCCACCUUCAUAUACUCUUCACCUCAUUUCAACCCCGCCCCGAAGGGUCAUGCCCACUCGGGCAUAUCAAUACGGACUAAUGUGAAGCAAGUCCAAGCAAUGCUGAAACUUGCUACCUGUUACCACUUUGGUUAACAUGUCUGCUGGGUUCUCAUUUGUGUGUACCUUCAAAAGAGAAAUAUCACCUUCCUCUAUGAUAUCACGCACAAAGUGAUACCUGACAUCGUAGUGCUUGGUUUGAGCAUGAUGAACCUGAUUCUUAGCCAAGUGAAUCGCACUCUGGCUAUCACACCACAAGUCCACACAAUCCUGCUCAAUCCCCAAAUCAUCUAGAAGACCCCACAACCACAAUGCUUCCUUCACUCCCUUUGCCAUGGCCAUAUACUCGGCCUUUGUAGUAGAAAGAGCCACUGUAGCCUGUAACAUCGAUCGCCAACUAACUGGGGCACCAUGUAUGCAAAAUACAUAGCCAGUAGUAGAUCGUCGUCUGUCUAGAUCACCUGCAUAAUUCGAGUCCAUAAACCCACUUAUAUGACAUGCAUCUCCACCAAAACAUAAACCUGUACCCGCGGUACCUUUUAAGUACCUCAGGAUCCACUUCACAGCUUCCCAGUCUGCCUUCCCCGGAUUUGCCAUGAAUCUACUGACCACACUAACCGCCUGUUAAAUAUCUGGGCGUAUACACACCAUGGCAUACAUCAAACUGCCAACUACACUAGCAUAAGGUACACGAUCCAUGCGUACCUUUUCUUUCGCUGUAGUAGGAGAUUGUUUACCAGAGAGCCUGAAAUGUGGAGCCAAUGGAGUCACCACCGACUUUGCACCUUGUAACCCGAACCUAACAAUAACUCGCUCAAUGUAGCCUUUCUGACUCAAGAACAUUCGCCGGUUCAUCCUCUCUUCUAAUCUCCAUACCCAGCAUUUUCCUAGCAGCCCCCAUAUCCUUCAUCUCAAACUCUUUACCAAGUUGAGAUUUCAACCUAUCUAUCUCCACCUUUCUUUUCGAAGCGAUAAGCAUGUCAUCCACAUACAAAAGAAGAUAGAUAUAGUUACCUCCCCGAAAUUUUCGAAUAAAAACACAACAGUCAUACUCACUUCUAGAGAAACCAUGCUUUAGCAUGAAGGAGUCAAAUCGCUUGUACCACUGCCGAGGAGAUUGCUUCAAUCCAUAUAGUGAUUUUCUCAAGCGGCAUACCUGACGUUCUUUAUCCUCAACCUUGUAACCCGCAAGUUGAUGCAUAUAGAUUUUCUCAUUUAAGUCCCCGUGCAAGAAGGCAAUUUUGGCAUCGAGUUGUUCUAGCUCAAGAUCAUGAUGAGCAACCAUACUCAAUAGCACCCGAAUGGAAGUAUGCUUGACCACCGGAGAAAAGAUCUCAUUGUAGUCAACUCCCUCUCUUUGUGCAAACCCGUUAGCCACUAACCUUGCUUUGAAUCUUGUACCAACGAACUUGGCAGGGUCCUCUUUCUUUUUGUACAACCACUUGCAACCAAUAGCUUUCUUACCUAUGGGCAAUGGGACAACCUCCCAUGUUUGGUUCUUGUGACGUGAUUCCAUCUCUUCUUCCAUUGCUGCCAACCAACUCUCACUAUUGUUAUUUAAAAUAGCUUCCUUGAAAGUGGCAGGCUCAUCAUCCUCCACCGAGAGUGCAUACUCAACCAAAUUUGUCUGCCUAUAGUGCCUCAAAGGCUCGUAUGACCCCAACUUUAGAACUUGCUUAUAAGUACGCCGUGGCCUAGAGGAAGCCAAGUUAUCUGCAAGCUGUUGUUGUUGCUGUGCCUGUACAUUCUCUUGUUGAACCGCCUCUUGUUCAAGCUCAUCAUCACUCUCAUCUUGAGUGUCUGCAUGAUGUUCCUCUUGAACAUGCCUAGAACCAGGUUGAUCUCUAGAUUCUAUGUCAACAACUUGAGACUUUGUAGUCUCAACAUCAUCACCACCGGACACUGUAGCUUUCAACGAAGCUAUCACGGAGUUCUCAUCAAAAGUAACAUCUCUGCUGAUUAUGAACUUAGAAUCCUCUACACACCAUAGGCGAUAGCCUUUUACACCUGCCGCAUACCCCAAGAAUAUAGCCUUCUUGGCCCUCGCAUCAAGCUUUCCCUCGUUGACGUGAUAGUAGGCUAUGCAUCAGAAUAUUUUGAGUUUCUCAUAAUCUGCAUGUUCUCUUGUCAAUACCCUGUAAGGUACAUCUCCAUCUAACCUUGAAUGUGGAGACCGGUUCAUUAUGUAGCAAGCAUUUGCAACCGACUCUGCCCACCAUUCUCUGCCCAAACCAGCAUAGGAUCGCAUACACAUCGAUUUCUCUCGAAAUGUGCGAUUCAGUAUUUCCGCGAUCCCAUUCUGUUGCGGUGUAUUUCUAACUGUCCAGUGUCUCGCAAUGCCUUCCUUACCACAGAACUCCUUGAAAGCACCAUCUAUAUACUCAGUACCGUUAUCAGAUCGCAGUGUCUUCAAUUUCUUUCCUGUUCUGUUUUCAACCAUUGCUUUCCACUUCUUGAAAGUGUCAAAUACCUCAUUCUUAUGCUUCAAAAAAUAAAUCCAAGCAUAUCUAGAAUAAUCAUCAACAAAUGUAACAAAAUACCUGGAACUGCCUUUGGAAGUGACAGAAGCCGAACCCUAUACAUCCGUGUGCACAUAGUCUAGAAUACCUCUGCUUUUAUAUUUGCUUAGCUGGAACUGAACUCGGUGUACUUUACCGUACACGCAAUGCUCGCAAAAAUUCAUACAAAGCUUCUUCAAGUUCUUUAACAAACCUUUCUUGACUAGCAGAUCUAGCCCCUUUUUAGACAUAUGCCCAAGUCUCCUAUGCCAUAGUCGAGUGCACUCACAUGGGUCUCCACCACUUUCACUUGUUCCAACUGCUACAUCUUCUAUAACAGUAGUACCCUGAAGAGCAUAGAGAUUGCCUUCACGAAUACCCUUCAUCACAAUCAAAGAACCACGAACAACCUUCUUUACUCCAUUCCAUGUUACAAUCUUGCAACCACUGAAGUCUAAAACACCAACAGAGAUAAGGUUCUUCCGCAAAUCAGGAACAUGUCUAACAUCCUUCAAUGUUCUAACCACUCCAUCAAACAUCUUGAUUCUAAUUGAACCGAGCCCCACAGUUUUACAGGAAUGGUUAUUACCCAUGAACACGGUUCCACCAUCAGUGCUUCUAUAAGUAGUAAACCACUUCCUAUUUGGACACAUAUGGUAAGAGCAUCCUGAGUCAAGAAUCCACUUACCGGAGAUUUCGUCAUCACAAGAGAUGGUGUAGCACUCAUCGCUUUCCCCUCCUUCCGAGGCAUAGCUAGCCUCUUGCUUCACUUGCACCUUCCCAUUGUUGUUGUUGUUCUUCCAACUCCUUUUGUUUGUACAAUUCGUCUUGAAAUGCUCAAGCUCAUCGCAUUUGAAACAAGACCUUUCCGCAAGAGGUCUAGAACUCGAUCUAGAUUUUUCUCCCUUGCCCUUUGGUUGCACAUUGCUUCUACCUCUUACAAACAAUCCUUGAGCUUGCUCCUUGUUACCAAUGGUAGACAUGCCACUAGUUGCAAUCUUUCGAAGAUCAUCCGCUAGAAGUGACGUUCUAGUGUCCUCCAUCACAAGUUUAUCACCCACAAGCAUCAAUGUUUGCACUAGGUUCUCGUAAGACUUUGGCAAUGAAAGAAGUAGUAGAAGUGCUUGAUCCUCAUCAUCUACUUUCACAUCAAUGUCCUUCAAGUCCGAUAUGCACCUAUCAAACUUGUUGACGUACUCCCGGAUUUGUGUACCUUCAUCCAUCUUGCAAGUAUACAAUUUGGACUUCAAAUAGAUCCGAUUAGUUAGAGUCUUCGUCAUGAAGUUCGUCUCCAACUUUGUCCCCAACUUCGUCGCCAUUUCCUCACCAUCAACCAAGAAAGCAACAUCUCUUUCAAGGCAUAGAAUGAUAGACGCUCGUGCCUCAAGAUCUAGCUCUUCCCAAUCCUCGUCAAACAUAUCUAUGUGCUUUUUCUCCUUUUCCGCCAAUGCCUUGUGCAACUUUUGAGAAAUUAACAAAUUUUUCAUUUGCAUUCUCCAAUAUGAGAAAUCAUUCUUCCAUUGAAUUUCUCUAUCUCAUACUUCCCAAUCUUCACGUUCCUCUAGUAGACAUGAUUUAUCUACUUGUUUACCGGAAAUAAACCAACAAAGUUCACUUGAAAAUUUUCACAAACACCUUGUGUGCACAAUAAAGUUCAAGCCAACCCACAAAAAUCAGAGCUUAACCACCCUGAUUUAAGAAGAUGCUCUGAUACCAAAUUGUUGGGAAUACAACACUCCCAAGAUUGCCCAAGAAAGAUAACUUGUAAUGUGAAAAAUCCCAAACCACUUCAAAGAUAAGAAAUUGGGGAAGAAAUGAUUUUCAAUAAAAAUGAAGAACAAUGGAUUGGAUUACUUGAACAAACCUUAAGUUAAUCCCAAAGAAAAUAAAAAUGACUUUGAAUUUAUACCCAAUAAGAACAACCUCUUACUUGAUAAAUUCUAUCCAAGCCCUCUCUCUAUUUUUCCUCUAAAAAAUCGGGUUCUAUACAAAAGGGAAAAAAUCAGCUAUAUAAAGGCUAAAUCGGGCGCCUAGGCGCCCACAAGUUUCUGCCCUAUUCUUGCACCGGCCAGUGCCUAGGUGCCCACUCAUGGCGCCUAGGCGCCCUGCUUCUUCUCCAUUUCUCACACAAUCUUUAGAGGAACAAGAUUACAAAAUUCCUGAUAAAUUAUAAUGCUUUGGUGCCAGUGACUGGAGUAGAGUUUUUCCAUGGAACAAUAUUUAUUAUAGUCAAUAAUAUAGUAAACAGCGUUUGGUGUUAUGGACAGUAGACGAUCUGUGUAACAUUUGUCGACUAUGAAUCUUGAGUGAACGAUUUUGUCAAUACCAUGCAUUGUCCGAAGGUUACAUCAAAACCUUGUACUCAAACUUUUGAUUGAAUGGAAUGGUGGAAAUCUGCUCGAAUACAAGUAUAUGAAACACAAAAUCAUUGUCGUCGGAAAAACAGUGAAUCUGAAAUCUUUCAUAACUUAUAUAAUUUCUAAUUACAAGAUCUGUUUUUUCUUCGGAUUGGUGAAUGUAGUUGCCAUAAUAAUAUGUUAAUUCUACAGAACUUUAAAAAGAAUUCUAAUUCUGACCUCAUUGUUCACUAAAAUUUCAUGUUAUAAAUGCAUAAUCACCUAAUUCAAUAUCUAUUGUGGUAAACACCGAUUAAUUUUACAUAAUCUUUAAUCAAAUUCCAGAUUCUUUGAGUCCUAUCUUCUAAUUUAGAACUUUGUUGUAUGUACAGAAAAAUAACUUGACAAGAUGCUGCCAACAUUGUAUCUGAUACUCGUAUAGGGAGAAUCACUCAGUACAAGUAACAAAAUUCUCCAGGUUGUAGAUCAAGUGAUAUAAUAUGUCAAUGUCCAUAAUUAGUUUAUGUUGACGUCAAAAUUUGUUUGAUUGAGUGGUUAAUAGAAUUUUGAUCAUCUCACCAUCCACCUAGGCAUCACCUACACGUUGAAAUAUGCCGUUAGGUGGAAAGAUCACCAGCUAAGAAAAAGGGUUCGAUGAUUAUUUGCACUUCAAUGAUCAAAUCAACAUCCAGGAGAGAGAAAGUGAGUACAAGAGAUGGGUGAGGAAAUUGGGCUAGAAUUAGAAUACAUACCUUGAGUGUGAAAUGAACUCUCACACUUAUAUCGUGGAAGGAAAACGGGCCAAGAUAAGUUAGUCGACCGGGACCAAGUCCAUGCCUAAGAAAAGGUUGCUUGAUUUAAUCGAUCCAAUCCAAUUAAAAUAAUUGAUUGUUGAGUCAACUAAUGUGGAUCUCUCUCCAUUCUUUAUCAGGGGUUUGGUCUCUGGCUCUCAAUAACAUUUUUUCUUUCAUUUUUAUUUAUUUUAAUUUUCAAAUCUUAAAAUUCUCCCCACUUUCACCUAUUUGAAAUCCGAUUCACAUCAUCACCAAUUUAUUCAUCAUCAAUAAUUCAAGAUUUUAAUAUUGUGAAGAAUAAGAAAUAAUCAAUAUGAGAAAGCCACGGGUUAUGAUUUCAUCAAACCAUCGACUAUGUUUCUCAAUUAUGUGGUCAUCUCUUAUUAAUUUUUCCAAGUUUAAUUUUAAUUUUUCAAUGAUUUUAUAAUUAAUGUUCAGUGAUGCCACUAAAUUUUCUGUGUAGGAUGGAUAUCUAAAUAGGUAUUAGGCUCAUCCUUGACAUGCAUAUUAUGUGGUCGUACGUAGGAGGAUUGAUAUCAUCUUUACUGGAGACGACAGUAAGUUUAAGUGCUGACAGCUUGAGCUCUUCAACUAGCACUAUGAGUGCCACUGCCUUGCCGCUUUUUUACUUCUAAUUCCUCGCUUAAUUUUAAAAGUUACUCAAUGCUUACUUAUUUUUUAAUUAAUUAUUAAUCCACACAGAGUUUAAAAAAAAAAAAAUAAAUAAAUAAAUAAAACAUCAAUUAGGUCUUCCCUUUUUCUUUUUUUUUUUUUUGGACUCUAAGACACAAUGUUUAUUCAAGGCACCCCUUGCAUUCAUAUAGUAUAUUCUUGCUUUGAAGUGGAAGUGGAACCUGGGUGUUUACAAUUUAGCAUGUCAAAAAACUCUUGAACCCAACAAGAUUCAAAUUACAAUGAUAAAGAAUAGGUUUGAAGUUAACAUCCAAACUGCAAAAAUACACAAGCUACUCUAUACUAAAUGAAUUGGCACAAACUACAGUGAUUUCACAGCAAGUGGCGAACUAAGGUAUCCAUGACUCCAUCGGCAGGAUUGGAUGAGUUUAGCGUGCUCAUCCGUAGACACAAUGCUAAAAAGAGACACUGUUAUAUCGGCUUAUUAAUUACAAAAUGAAUUCUAUUUAACACACUUGAACUAUUGAUUCCAGUGGAUUCCACUAUACUAGGAGCUUAAAGAAGCAUAUCAACAGAGGAAGCAAGAAAGAAAAUCAUUGAGAGAAUCUGUGAAGGUUUGGUCUUGUUGUAUGAGGCUUUUAUCAAGUGUAGCAAAGGGAAACCCUUUUAUGGUGGAGAUAAAAUCGGUUACCUUGAUAUUGCACUAGGUUCCUACAUGGGAUGGCUUAAAGCGACAAAGGAAAUAAAUGGACAGGAAAUUUCUUGAUCAACACAAGCCCCCGAGCUUGGCACAAUGGGCGGAGAAAUUUUUUUCACAUUACGCUUUCAAAGAAGUCAUGCCAAAGACUCAGAAGCUAAUGGAAAUUAAUAAAAUGGUCCAAGGCAGGGGAAAAACAGCUUCUGUUUGAUAAUGCAUAAGAUGAUUAUAGCUGUUUCUUGGAAUGUUUUUUUUUGAAGAGUUUUCUUUGUGAAAGAUAAUCUCUAGCAUAUAAACUACUGAACUGUUACAUUAUGAAAAACCUAAUGUGCCCAUUAAGCCAAAGUCAGGGUUGAAGCAGUCGAGGGUCGGUGCAUUCUGCUGAAGUUCUAGAAGAACAUCAAGUUCGUCCUCUUCUGGGAGUGUCAUACUUGUGACUGAAAAACAUGAACUUUGAGGACUUGGUUGGGUUGUGCAGAUUUGAUUCUCUGUCCAUUCCACUCUAGUAUUGGAACGAUCAUUUUCAGUGGUAGAGAGCUCAAAUUCAGUACCAUACUGAUCAAACGACAAUGGAAUAUGUCUGGCCUUCUCAAAUCCAUGUAUCUCAUCAACUUGAUAAUCAAAUAAGCAAGGUGUUUCCAUGGUUUGAUUAAGAGAUGACAUCUCAUCAGCAGCGAGUUCAAAUCCAGGAUCACACUGAUCAAAUGACAAUGGAAUUUGUCUGGCCUGCUCAAAUCCAUGUAUCUCAUCAACUUUAUAGUCGAAGCAGCAAGGUGUUUCCAUGGUUGGAUUGGAAGAUGAUGUCUCUUGAAAUAUGAGCGAUUCAGUCCAAAAGGAAUUAUCACUGUUAUCAAUGCAAUUCUGUUGAAAUCCCAUGCUGUAAGGAGUAUGACCAGUAGAGUAUGGCAUAUGUAAACUUUGGGUCAUGUAGAAAGAUGCUGCAUUUGAAGAUUGUAGUUGCAAGGAACAUGGCAAGUAUUGUUCUGACUGAAAACCCUGUUUUAAAUUUAACAAAAUAUUAUAUUUCAGUUUUAAAGACAGGACAUAUAAAUCAAUCAAAAAAAGCUAAUUGUUUUACAUACCAAUUGUGACAUAGGUUCAGAAGAAACCACAGGUCCCAAAUGCAUACCUUCAACAUUGCUUGGAAAACCACCAAAAUAGCCCUGAAAGUUUGUGUUAAAUAAGAUUUAAGAAAAAUUCGAAUAGUGGUGAAAAAUAAGCAGCCUAAUGUGUAAUAACAACAUAAAUGGACAAUGCUCUUACUGGAGUAGAAGACAUAAUAUUCCCAGGCAACUGAUUUCCAAAACCAAGCAUGCCAGCAUUAAAAUAUGAGCUCAGAUUUUGUGAACUUUUUGGAGGCCAGGCAUUAGGAGGAAUGCCCCCACUCAACGGGUUGCCAAAUUCAGACGCUGGAUAGGAGAAGGAAUAAUCAGCUUCUUCAAAAGAGUUUGUUAUCAUGAUUAAAAAUUAAUUCAAACAACAAAACCAUAUCUAUCCAUGAAUAAAUACAGAAGCAGACCAGUAUAUGAAUUCCAGGAAGAACAUAAUGAAACGUGAAUAAAAAGGGCUAGUCCAAUCACAAUAAAAAAAAUAAUCAUGAAAGUACCUGAACCUGUUUCUUGAUCUUUGGUCUUAAUCUCCUUUAUCCGUUUCUUGACUUGAUCUAAUUUGUUCUCAACCUUUUUCAGAAAAUUUUCUACAGCCCCUUCAUCACCUCCCAAAACCUGCUUCUUCUUACAACCAUGAUCAUUAUUGUUAUGUUUUCGCUUCUUGUUAUUAAGGCAGUCUUUUUUGAACAAGUCGAUCACAUCCUGUACAUCGCUGCGAUUCUCAGGCCACGUUUCUAUCUUCCCAUCAGGGCCUAAGAUCACAGCACAAGCCUUGACUUCACACAAAACAGAUAAUUCCAUUGUCUUCUUCUUUAUACAUUCUUUUCUUGCCAAGAAUGCCUUCUUCUUGGCCUUCAACUCAUCUUUCUUGAAGCUUUUUUUUUGAGGCCUGGAAUGAUUGUCUGAUCCACCAUCAUCAUCCCCCAUGAUUGUGAUCUUUUUUGUAUGUGAAGUAUGUAUAUUUCAAGAUUCAGACUAAGAUCGUGAAUUAUUACAGUGAGGAGAAUCAGAAGGAGAGAAAUCAAGAUUGAGAUGAGAGUAAUGGAAUUGAAACAGAGAGAAAUCAAGAUGAGACUAGAGUAAUUGAAACCGAGAGGUAAUUGAAACUGAGAGAAAUCAAGACCGGGAAAAGAGCAUCAAGAAAAGAUCCGUUGUGUUUAGGCGGGAAUUUGAAUUACUUAGAGCGCUAGUUUUAACUUACCGUUGGAGUUUUGUUUAAUUAUCGAGGAAAUAUCCGGGUCCGGUGGGUGUUUAAUUCAAGGCGUCCGAAGGGUAUUUGUGUAAAUUCGUCGCGUGUAUUUAGCUUAGGGUUUUAUUUUGCAAACAAUUUGAAGAUGAAUCAAUUUGAAGCUGAGACCGGAAACGGAUGAUUCAAACAAGUCGACAAUGGCGAAGGAAGGAUGAGAUGGGAUGGGAAGGAACUGUAAUUACGAAAGCAACUCCAGGGCCUUCACCAUUUUCAAAUGAAUUUUUUUUUUUAAGGUAUAACAUGUGUUGCUCGAUCAAACUUCUAAAAAAAAUCUUUAUAUUUUUACUCUCCAUGUGGACUAGUUCUGAAAUUGAAUUCAGUAAAAAGAAUUUUGGAUAUUAAUCCAACUUUUGCUGAGAUCGCUGGUUGAACGUAGAAUUCAUUUGUAGAUUUUAUUUUUUUUAUUUAGUUGUAAAAUUAAAAUAACAUCUUUGUAGUUGUUGGACUGUUUUGCCUUUUAUUUUGAUGUUCUUCUAAAUCUCCUUUUAAUAAUGUCGUUUUGGCACCUAUUAAUGGAUAUGACGCUCUUGAGCUUUUGUGCUCGAUUCCUGUAUUUUUUUCAAUGUAGCAAUUUCGAUGUUUAAUGUACAGGGAAAAAUUAUACCUUUUUAUGAAUUGUCGGAAUACAAAUGGUUAGGACUACAUUAUUUUGAUGAUUCCAAAUACACAUGCUUUGUGACAAAUAUAUUGGGUUGGUAUCCUGCUGCAUUUCCUAUAUGAUUUGUAUUAUUGCAGUAUCGAAUUGCAAAGACUCGAAUAUAUCCAGAUGUAUCUUUGGUACAGGGUUGGUAGGUGGAAGAAAAACUCUCUUUUUAUUUGUCUAUUUUUGCUUACUUUAAUUUCGUGUUCCUGUUAACAUAAUCUUUUUUGAUGAUGUUUUCUUGAAUUGCUGCACUGUGAGUGGCAUCUUUUAUGCUAGUAUUUUUUCAGAAAAAUGCUUCUUGUACUCUAGUGUAUACCCCUUUCACAUGAGAGGGGGCCCACAUUGAUUGAAAAAUUCGUGGGCCCCCUUGAAUGUGAGGGGGCUGUGCACUAGAGUGUAUAACUCUAGUGUACAGGUAGCAUUUCUCAUUUUUUUAUUUGACUCAAGACAAUUUUUCUUUCGAAUACGGAUAAUUCGAAGUUGGUCAAUAUGAAUUUUCGUAUCCAAACCUUUUUAUGGCUUUUCUUGGAAGCUUUCUGUAUUAACCUGGCAGUCCAAAUUUCUAACCAUAGCAGUAGAUGAUCUUGGUUUAUUUGUUAUUGCCUUCAAACUCUCAGAACAAUGGUUGGCAUGCCCUGUUAUUUAGUUGAUGCUAGUUGGAUUUUGUGUUUGACAAUCAGAUUUACAAAAUAUUAUUCUUUUGAAAAUGUGUGGCCUUGAUGUUGUUUUCCUAGUGUAUUGUAACUGAUCAGAAAUAGUUUGUACACAUUUGACUAUUAUUAUUAUUAUUUUUUUUUUUUGUAGAAUAUCCUGUGACUUAAGCCUUUGAGCCUUACCAUGGUAGAGAAGGGAGCAGUAUGGGCAAUAUUUCUUCAGUGAAGUCCAAAUCUGUAUGUACUUCUGUUAUCAAUAUCUUUUUAUGUUAUCUUUGUGCACUUUUGCAGGACUUGACCUUCACUGAAAUAGUUAGGCCAAAUUGUUUUCUGACAAGAAAGCAGUGUUUUGCAAGGAGAUUAUUUUUCAAUUUCUCCUUACCAUAGUUAGGAGAGGGUGGAUUGUUUGUUUGAUAGUUAAAAGUCUUUUUCUUACAUUUUUAUCUUGAGGGGAUUAGUGAGAUGAUGGAUAUUGGUCCUUUAACCGUUGCCUUUGGUUUUGGAAACAACGAUUCUUGACCAGUCAUGACAAUGUGAAUUGGUUAUACUAGAGGAAGUUGGGAUGCUAUUUGUGUAGGCUUUGUUGCAAAUUUGUAUGAACAUAGGACAAUAGAGAACACAAGUGAGACACUAAUCCCUUUGUUUGGUAAGACUUGAGUUUUAAUGACAAAUCCUCUAGCUGUAAAAAUAAGGGCACUGCAUUUUCAUUUCCCAGUUAUCAACUUGACCACAUCUUGAUUUAGUGCAAAGAUGUUAUUUUAAUUUGACAACUAAACUUGAAAAAUUAAAGAGCCAAAUGCAUUGCCCUUAAAAGAGCUCUUCUAGUCAUCACUACACUGCUUGUUAAAUACUGGUGUGUCUCAAGCCAUUAAUAUUGCUUGAUCACCAAAGCAUUAAUUGAAGGAAACUUGCUUUAGAAUAAAUAGAAUCACUUUUCAACCUCCUAACUGAUAACAUUUUAGUAAGUAGUCCUACCGAGUGUUUGCUUUUGUGCCAAUUUAAAUUGCAACUAAGCCACACUUAUCCCGAAGGUUUUAAAAGUCCCAGUUUUGUAUUUUAUAUAGGACAACUGAACAGGGAAACAACUAAUCAGUUUCUUUUGAUUGGUACUUUUUAUUUAAUAAUGAGCUCUCAUGGAAAAUCUUUGGGAAAAAAAGGUUAUUAUGCUGUGUCCCAGAAGCUUAUUAUUAAUAUAUUUUUUUCCUCUCUCUCUUUUUUAUUAUUUUAUUAUUUUUUAAUUUUUCAAUUUUAUUAUUUUUUUAUAUUUUUCCAUUGAAUUUCUGGAAACAUUGCAUUGUUUGUACUGCAACGCAUUCUUGCAGCAAAAGCACUUAAACUUGGUGCCGGUGAAUCCUGAAAGGCUACUGUUCUGAAAAAACAAAACAAUGCCUUGUUAGCUAUGUGAACGAGAAUUUUCUACCAAUGACGUUUCUGAUUUGUGCUUCACAGAUUAUUUUCUUUGGUAUUUUUUUUCCUUUUUUCAUAAAAUAAUUGCGUUUGGCCUACAUGUGAGCGAUUUCAUCAUUUCCUUCUUGUAAAAUCUAAGCAACAAGAUGCAGCUGUACCUCCAACUGAAGAAACUCUCAGGAAGAUAACAGAGCCUGAUCCUGAACUUAUUUCUCAAAAUAAAGCUGUUUAUAGAUUAAUUUCGUAGAUGCUUCGAACUGAAAGGGAAUUUGAAUGUUAUUUUGGCUGAUCAUCAUAAUUAUUUUUUGUAUGCAACCAAAUUCUACAGAAGUAGUGGUUUUUCUUACUCAGUUUAUUCUGUAGCUUAAGUUGUCUCAAAUAUUAUUAACAGAGAAACCAACUGGAUCAAGUGAGGAAGGAGUUGGCAAAGGUACUGAUGUGCAAGACACUGAAUACACCUCUAGAGUCAAAGUUGAGAAAAUGGGGGAUUUGGAUCCUGUUCAAGAUUUUGAAGCCAUGAUGUCUCAAAGAGAGUACAGAAUAGUUUAAUGAAGCGAUUCAUGAUAUGAAAAAUAAAAUCUCCUUUAAAGGAGACACAUACCAUAAAGCACUAUAACGUUUAGUAGCUCUUUGCAAGGGUUGCAUUCUAGAGCAAGUUUUCUUUCAUGCUUUGUAUACACCCAGAAAAUUGCCUAGACACUAAAAGCCUACAUAUAAAUGAUGAUUCAAACAUAUUGUUUGGUUUAAUAUAUGACUAGAUAAUCACUAUUUUAUCUUUACUGGCGUGUAACUUUCCAUCUUGAAUAUUUAUUCGCGCUUGUUGGCCCCUCCCCCUUCCUCAAUGUUAUUUUACAUCACUUGUUGACUGCACAACAUCAUAGUAGGAAGAACAGUGGAAGUGUUGUUUUAGGAGUUAUUAAUGAUGAAGUUCUCGUGUUAUUCUCUGACAAUUUCUGCAGCUCUGCCAGAUUCAAAUUACUGUUGCAUUCAGGGAAAUAUGUGGACUGUAUUUUUUAUCCUUGUGAUUAAGCACACUAUUUCAACUAUAUAUUGGUUCUUAUCCAAGAAAUGUAAGUUGGUUAGCUAACAAAACAAAUUUGUGAAAUUCAAGCAACCCUUUCCCAAAUUGACAUGAGAAAUGUAAACCGGUUAGCUAUGAGAAACAAAUCGCUGAAAUCCAGUGACUUAUUUUUUUAUUUUUUACCCCAAAUUUGCAUGAAAAAUUUGUAUUCUGAACUUGUAGUAUAUAAGUAUGUUGACUCUUUUAGCAGACUACUUUGAAACAGCUGUCAAAUAUUUUGAGUUUUUCCUUGAACAGGAACCCAAACAAUUCAAUGAUUUCCUGCACCAUCUUGUCAAAUUCUGCCAAGAGAAAGACCUCAAAAGCUUCGGUGAAUAUGCAUCACUAGAAAUUACACUGGUAAGCAAGCAAGAAGCACCCGACAGGUCUGUUAUUACAAAGUUUGUCCUACAAUUCUUCAUGCCCUUCAAUUUUUACUUUCAUUCUCACCAUAUAAUUUUAGGAUAAUGCUUAUUUUUGGUCCAUAUAUCCUUGCUAUCCAAACAGUGAAGUCUACCAGGAUGAUGCCAGAAGCUUUAUAAAGGGAGCCAGAAGCCGAGCAAGGAUUGUGAGAAUUGGCCUGGUGGCCUCUAGUUUGAAGUGGGCACGAGAAAUUCACUCAGAUAUUUUGAUGAUAUAUUCUCUGCUCCUGUCUUUGAUAUGUAUAGAUUUCAACAGGAAUCACGCCAAACAAUGGAUUUAAAACUUGUCCAUUCUGAAAAGUUGAAUAGAUUUUUCAAGCUUAAUCUUUCAAGUGGCAUUGAAAGAAAAGUUGAUGUUAAUGUAAAAUGAUGUUUCAAUGAAUUAUUAGUCGGUAAGUUGUUCAACCAAUUUCGGACGUUGGAUCUCAACUUCUUUCAAAGAGUCUCUGUUUUAAUUCUUGGAGGGUGUAGACUUGCAGUACUACGUAAAUUGUGUGAUGCAGUAUGGAAGAAAUGCUUCAUUUUUUACUACUCAUUUUGAGUGUUGGAAUGUUUAGUAUUAAUAUCUGGCAUUGGGAUCUAGAAAUAUUUGUGAUGAACGUACAAAAAACCUUCUUUGGAUUGCCCAUCAUUUUGGGACCUAUUUAUGGAUUUGAACUUUUAUACUGUAUUCCUGUGUAUGACUUGUUGCUCCCACGUGGCUGUUAUUUGAAAAAUUCAUUGUUCAAGACUAAAGAUAGAGAGGAAGCAGGAAACAUUAGUUUGAACACAGGUCCAAUUUUUUUUCUUUCUUGAGGGGUGGUACAGGGGAUGGAAGAUACCGCUCCUCGAAUUCUUAACCUUGGUUGUAGACGCAACAAUUCUUGACCAUCGAAGACAAGGUGAAUUGGUUAUACUCGUGAUAGUUGGGAUGCUAGCUGUGUAGGUUUUGUUGCGAAUUGGUACGAACAUAGGACAAUAGAGAACGCAAGUGACAAAUUAUUCCCCUUGUGUGGUGAGACAAAAGUUUUAAUUAAAAAUCUUUUAGUUGUAACAAUACUGUUCAUUUUCAAGUUAUCAACUUAACCACAUCUUGUUUUGCUAUCAACCUUAUGGCUGUGGUAGUUGAUUCUCGUGGUUCAUUUAAAGGGUUUUCCCUUCAAUUGCUCAGAUAGUCAUUUUCAAGUUUUUUGCUAAACUGUGUAUUGUGGGCGUCUUGUUAUGAAAAUACCCUUACAAUUAAGGAUCUUUCGAAAAAUCAUAUGAAAAUUUUUUUGAAUGUAAAGAAUACUGUGUAAAAUUAAAAUGUGACAUAACGUUACUUAAUUUUAUAUAUAUAUUUUUAGAAAUUGUCAGUUAAUAUCACUUUUAAAAGUUUAGUGUUACUUUUAUAUUAAAAAUAUGACAUACAAUUUCAUUUUUAUUAAAAAGUGAUGUAUGUCACUAAAAAAAGUGAUAAAAAUUUCCAGAAGACGAUCGAAAAAAGUGACAAAAAUUCAAAAAAGUCACAGAAACAAAUUAAAAAAGUUACACAGAUUAAAAAGUGGCAAUAAAUAAAAAAAAGUGACAAACACUCGAAAAGUAAGAAAAUAAAAAAUACGACAAACUAAAAAAAGUGACAAACAUUCAAUGUCACUUUUUUAAAUAAAAAAUGACAUACUAUUAUUAAAAAAUUGAUUUUGUCGCUCAAAAAUGAAAGAAAUUAACAUCUAAAAGAAAUUCUUAUAAACAAAUGAAAAGCUCAAUCAAAGAUUUAUUGUUCAAUUAAAAUUAGAUUGUGUGUGACAUUUUAAUAAACAAGUGGCACAACAUGCUAUAUCACUUUUUACUAAAAAUGCCACAAAAUGCAAUAUAUAUAUAUACACACACACACACACACACACACACACACACACACACACACACACACACGGAUUUGAAAAGUACUUUUGAUAAAUAAUCGUGACUUUUAAUUUAAGCAAAUCCAACAGUUAGUAUCUCAUGGAUCUCAAGUGGUUAUAACUAAAUUUUCCAUGAUCCUAGUGAAAUAUUAUAUGUCAAAAAUACUUGUCAAAUCUAUGUGUAGGAAGAACGCUCCAAUAUAUGUAUAUACACCAUCACUUUUCAUCAGAGCUUUUAAUUCAUUGUAAAUUGAUUUUCUUUGACGAAUUGAGUUGAUGUACAAGUUUAGCUUGUUUCUUUCACAUCCAUAACAAAUUGUAAUUGAAUUUUUUGUUAAGACAUGUGGCUUCGGUUAUACAUGUUUUAAUACACAAUUAUACUUGUAAAAUUUAUCAAAUGCCAUUGCCAAUAUUUGAGUUAGUUUUCUCUACUUAAUCUCACAUAUUUCAAAAAUAUUACUUUCUAAUUUUUACAAAAUUUAUUCUUAAAAAAUUUACAUCAAACUGGCCUUUAAUAUUUUGUUAUUAGUGAAGUUUAUGUGCCAGGGUUAAUAACACCUUUGGUCAAUGAACUUUCAAUAAAAUCUCAAUUUGAUUAUUCAACUUUAAUCUCAAUUAAAUAAUUAAAUUUCAAUUUACUCUCAAUGUUAAUCACUCCAUUAGCCCCCAAACCCUUUGUUGUUAUAUUGAUUAACAUCAACCCACGAUUGGUAAUAUUUUGUUUUUGUGUGUGUAAUAAUUAAUUAAUUAAGCAAUUAUUUAAUCAAUCAAUUAGAUUUUAAUACAUAUUUUAUAAACUUUUAUUAAAAUUUGAUUAAAAAAAACCAUUUUAUCAAAAGCUUUGUGAAACAAUCGCUUACUUGAGUCAUUGGUUAUUAUACGAGGCAUUUCAGUAGAAACCUUUUCGUUUCGUUUGAAAGAGACGAAUAAGACCAAUUUCCUAGAAGUGUAAAAAUGUUAAGGAUUAAUUGUCGAUUUUAUAAAAUAUAUAGUUUUAAGCACAAAAUUAUCCAUAAUUUCACGUUGACCAGUUUCUAAGUAACAUAAUAACACUCUCUCCACUUAAUUGACAUUUUUACCAAUCAAUGCACUUCACUCUUUAGCCUUUCUUCCAAAAAUUAUCCAUAAUAUCACGUUGACCAGUUUCUAAGUAACAUAAUAACACUCUCUCCACUUAAUUGACAUUUUUACCAAUCAAUGCACUUCACUCUUUAGCCUUUCUUCCAAAGUGCACACUUACUUAAAAUUAAAAUUUAAUACCUGUUUGGUGAAAAUUAAUUUAAAAUUUUUUAGUAGAUUUUAAUAAAAGUCUAUUAAAUGUGUGAAUAAAAAAUUGUGAAUCCUAUAAAAUUAGUGGUUAAAAUUAUUGUUGACUUUGACUUUGACUUUAACUUAAAUUAAAAUUUUAAAUUUAAUUUUUACCUAACCACAAAAACCAUAAAUAAAAAUUCAUUUUUUUUAUUUAAGUAACGUCGUUGAAUAGUAAAACAUUAAGAGUGUGUUUGAUUAACAUGGAAAAUAUUACUUAGAAAAUAAAAUAUUUUCCAUCUAUUGUGGAAAAUAAAAACCACCUCUACCCAAGGAAAAUAUUUUCCUUAAAAACAAGGAAAAUUAGGCAUAUUUUCAAAAAUUGGAAAAUGUUUUCCAUGGAAAAAAAAUAGCAAUCAAACACUCUAAGUGAAAAUUUGGAUGGAAAACUAAUAUUUUCCAUGGAAAAUAAAUGUAAUCAAACACACCCUAAAUCUAUGAAGAAAAGAAAAGAAAUAGGAAUUUCUUGUUUCGAGUCAAAAUUGGACGGUGGAAGCGUAGCCAACAGCCACAAUUACACAAGAAAACAAAAUUCAUUUGCAAAGCACAAAAGAAACAGGAAAUACACAGUUAAUCCCACGCUUUGUGUUGUCAUUGAGAAGUCGAGACGAAAUCUAUUAUCCUCUUAAAUAUAUAUAUUUUCUUAAUGCAAUUUCGAUAUUUCAUUACAUCAUAUCUUAUGAACAAAUGAAAAUAGACUGUAACGUGUAAUGUGCUAAGAUGUCGAAAAAUACGUAGCGUUCAAAGGUGAUGUGAUAAAGGACAAGGAGUUCGAAAUAACAUAUUUGAGUUCAGAGAAACCAUUUAUUGGAAUGAGAAAAUUGCAACAUGAAUUUCUUAUCUAUUAUUUUUAUUGCAAGUUAGUCUUAAAUUUUUUAUUCAUUAUAAAAAAUUACCACUACCCAAGUCUAAAGAUUGUGGUGGCACUCCCUCUCCACACCAAUAUGAAAAACAUUAGAGAUCCAAAGACUAAUCAUUGAGAAGACUUGUCGGAAAUGGCCAGUUGGUUGGUCCAAACAAGAAAGGCAUGGGAGUCUUUAGGCAUAAUCUUCUUCGACUAAUGAGAUCUCGAUCCAGAAGCCUUUUGAGUAUCUUUUCGAUAGGCAUUUCUAUUCGCUGUAGAUAGAUCUCGCCCGAUGUUCCCCUCCUUUUUUUACUAUCUUCGUAAAAACUAGAAAGUAUUAGAAAAGUGUUCCGUUACCAUCAUAUAUUUUUUGCGCAGUAUUUAAUGGUUUUUUUAUCCAACAUAUAAAAGAAAAAAAAUUAGUUGGGAACUGAUUAUUUACAUACAUACCCAUACUAUUAUUACGUAAAACUACAGGUUAAUUGAGCCACAAAAGCAAUGCAUUGUUUAUUUCUUCUUCAAGAAUGGCAAUAAAAUCAUAAUUGGUCUAGAAUACUAGUGAAACAUAUUUUUCAUUUUAGAUGUUCCCAUCUUUUGCCCACUAAAUGGUAGUUGGCUUAAAAUUAAUUAAUUUUAACUUAAUUUAUAUUACUAAUAAUUUUUUUUUUUCAAAUUUUCGACUUUGAUGUCUUCCGCGAAUAAAUCUCCAAUCAUUACAAAUUCUCUCGAAGUGGAUAGUACGUAAAGUUAUUGGCUUGAACACAAAAGCCCUGUCGUUACAAAAUUCAACUUUAAGGAAAGGUCAUGGGUUGGAUGCGACAGAAAGUCAUGAGAGAUGAUAUGGACUACCGCUCUCUUAAAGAGACAGUACACAAGUUAGCGAUUUAGAUAUAAAAGUCGAGUCGUUACGAUGAAGAACUAGCUUCAAGGGAUGAUAAGGACAUUGAAUUGUAAGCCUAAAAGUACAGCAACAGCUUUCUAGAUGAUACUGCAAGGGUUAGGGCUAGUGUCUCAAUGCUAGGGUUACCUCGUUACAAUGAUGUAAUGCCUUAAAAGAUUGGUGGGUAAAUUCCAUUUGUAAUAAUCAUAUUUUUGUCUGAUAUCAAUCAUGUGAUUAAUUGUAUUUAAACUUGGAAAAUGCCUUGUGUACUGGGAAAACUUCACAGAUGUUAUACAGAGACAGUCACAUGGGGGUGGGCCCCAUGUGAAUAUUUUACAAUUAAUCUGCAAGUACAGAUUUUUCUAAACAGAAUUAGUAUAAAAAGACACUUGUCUUCCCAUGAUUUGCUGUUGUCAAAAAUUGUUUUUAACAAUAGUCAAUUACAGAAGACAACUAUUUUUCUGUACAAAUUCUGUAAAAAAAAAAAAAUGUACUUGUAGCAUUGUUCAAUAUUUUAUGGGUGUGGGCCCCACUGCUAUGAAAUCUCCUGUAAGUGUAGCACAGUUCUUUCAAUUUUAUUCAAUAGGAUAACUAUAUAUAUAUGGAUUGAGAAAUAUUUUUCAUUUUUCUCUCUUGACUCUUCAUGUGGUCUUGUGUGUGGAAGUUUCUGGGUCUCUAUCUUGAGACUUUGUGUCUAUGUCCUUUCUUCUUCUUCGUGAUGUCUGUUCAUUUAUGUAGGAAUGUAUUUUAUUAACUAUCAUGUCAUCAAUUUCCAUUAAUCCAAGUGGUACAAUUGGGUGUAGUUAUUCAAUUCAAAACAAAUUAAAAUAUAGUUAUCCUAUUGAAUAAAAUUGAAAGAACUGUGCUACACUUACAGGAGAUUUCAUAGCACGUGUUUCAUAAGUCUUGGGCCGAGUUGUAGCCUACUUCACAUUGAGUUAUUGGGCAAUAGUGUAAGUAGUAUCUGUUGUGUUAAGUAAUUUCAUCUUUGUCCAAUUGGACUGGACCAAUAAAUCAAAUGGCAUCAUAGCCCAAUAAAGUUCGAUCAUCAUUCUCCUCUAGUUUACAGUCGUUUCAGCUUUUCUUUUGAAAGGCUUAUUCUUCUUCUAACUCGGAUGCAUAUAUAGUGGUAUUCUUUCGUGGAGAAGUUCUCACCUUUUGGGAAUGAUGGGCUCAAGGAAAUAAUUUAUCUGAAUCAAUAUGGGGACGAUUGACACCGGUGAAAAUUUGGUUUCCAAUGUUUUUUUCUUGGGGAAGACGAGAAGGGCCAGUUUACCUAUUUUAAUGUAACUCGAUUUGAGAAUGGAUAGAGCCUUCAUUCAUGAAAUUCGAUAAAGUGUUCACUCUUCCCCUUUAGAGUGGAGUUUCGCCUUUGUACUUGGCCAGCCACAGUCUCUAGUUUUUAUACCAUUUAUCUUAUUGGUUAUGCUUGUUUUCGAUAUUCGCUAAAACAUGAUCUAGCCAGAUUAUCUUGUAGUUAACCAAAAUUGGUAAUAAACGAGCUCACUUUCAAAGGAGUUAAAAGUGUUUGUAGAGUGCAUUCUGUAGACAUUUCACCAAAAAUAACAUGGAACAUAACUUGUCGAUUUAUAACGAAGUAAGCUGCAUUCCAUAGGUGCUUUCUGGGCAUCCCAUUGGAGCCCCCAGUCUACAAUUGUGGGAUCCAAUAACCUCUAUGAUGAGAUAAGGUCCUCUCAAUAGGGACCCAGAGUUUUGAUCUCUACUUCAUUACAAGGGAGCUAGACCUUCGAAAACACUUAAAACUCCGACGUUAGAAUUAUGGUAUCUCCCUAUUGCGUUGUUAUACUACGAAUCAUAGUUGCUCCUCAUUCCUUUAUUUCAAAAAAUUCAUAUUUUCUCAUUGGGCUGCGUCAUUUUGCAUCUCGUCAAAGUGUAAGCUGUGAUGAGACGAAUGCAAAUGGCAUCUCGCUUGUGGCAGUUCUUGUUGUGGUUCAAUAUGACCACAUGAAUAGGGACAACCCCUUUGCCCAACCAGCCUUGGUGGUUUACAACUUAUGCUUUAGAGUAUGUCGAUGAUCUUGUUGACAUUUUUGACCUAGCCAUUGGACAGGGUAUAACAUGGUGUGGAGAAGUCUCUAGGAUGUCGAGUUCCUCGCAAUAAGGUAUUAAUUUUUUUCCAAUAUAUUAAAUUCUAAUUAUAGACACGUUUUAUAUGAGGAAUGCAAAAAUGGCAAUUCUAUGUUCUUCCAUAUGAAUUUCUAAGUGUUUUCCUCAGUGAUCUUAGUAAGGGGAUCGACCUUUACUCACUUGGUGAAUAAUCUAGGGCCAUGGUUAAUGCUUUACUCCAUCCUUGCCCUAGGACAAAGGUCCAAUGAAAUCGAUAUCCCACUUGGGAAAAGGCCCAGGGCUCUUCAUUAGAGUUAAAACAUGGGCAUGAAAUUUUGGGACAUUGGUGAACCACUAGGAUACCACAUUUUCACACAAAAGUUAUGUGCAUUUUCCUUCAUUGUAGGCCAAGUGUAUCUUAUUUCAAAACCUUCUGAGCCAGGAUGUAUCUUCCUGUAUAGUUGCCUCAUACAUUUUCAUGUUAUUUUUCAUAACAUAUUGGUCUCAUUGUAAAUAAGCCAAAGUAGGAACUUGGUAAAACCCCAUUAAUAUAGAACCUCAUUCUUUGGGAAAAAACUUAGCAGGCCACAUAGAAAGCUUGUGGACGGCCACCUUGUUGGUGGUGAGCAUCAAAUCCCUUACAUAUAUGAUGAGUGUGUCUUCAAGCUAAUCUUGAUAAACUGUGAUUUAUUUGAGCGUAUUUCUACCUAAUUACGUAAAAUGAUAUGAUUUGCAGGAAUAGUUCAAGGUUGAGCGCAAUUGAUGCAAAAGUGGUAAAUUUGAGCUUAAUUGGAGAUAAAUUUUGGCUUUCGAAGAUUAGUUAGGGUUGCAAUUAAUCGACUAAAAGAAAUUAUUAGUGCAAUUUGAUGAAUUCAUGAGAUUAAGCAAGAAAAAUUGAUAAUUGGAAAGUUUGAGGAUCAAAAUAGAAGUUUUGAAAAGUCGGAGGACUAAACUACAAAAAUUGAACAUUAGGCCAUGGGUUGACCUCGGUUUGCAAACCAGCAGUCCAUCUGCUGCCAAUGAUUUAACCUAUAUGUCUCGGGUAGGCCAACACGAGGCCGACCCUGGCAAGCUCCGUUGAGGCAUUUUUACGUUUUGUUUAUUUAUUUAUUUAUUUUUAAAUUUUCUUCUAGUCUUUUUGAGUUUGUUUUGUUAGACUUUACCUUGAUCUAUCAUGUGUGGAUAAACAAACAACAUAUAGAUAAAAUGAGGAAAAUAAAUAACAGAAACUAACAUCCAGCCAUUGAUCUUCAAAAUACCAAAUUUCAGAUUGUGUUUGGUGCUUCCAAAUCUUCAAGACCUCUCUGCGAUGGUGCAAUUUCGUGAAAGUCUCGACUUGGGGACCAAUAGCGCUACUUCCCUUUAUAAACUCCUUUCCAUCAAAGGAGUUACGAAAUAUGAACGGUUAGGAAAAAUGGACGGUUAUGAGAUGAUGUUUAAUACCCAAUAAAUGAGGGAAAUAAUGGAUCAUUAAAAAAUGUAAAACGUUUAUAGUCUCCCACUUGGUCCAUACAUUUCACUCAAUAUGAUAUCCAAAAUCCAUCAAUUCUGACUUUCAAGAAACAAAAAUACACGAAUCACGGCGAUAGGUUCUCUAAAUACAAGUAUUAUCUUCUAUGUAUCACAAUGCAUUAUGUCUCUUAAACAUCAGCCCAUAUAACUUAAUGAACAAACCCUAUAUUUAUUCUAGGUCUAAACAUCAGUGAUAUUUCUCAACAUUAAUGUGUACACAAGGAAAAUCAAAUAUGAGAAAAUAUCACAAAUAUAUUUUCAUUUAAUUAAUCAUUCGUUCUUAUAACGAAAACUACAUAAAGGUAUCAAGUCCCAUUUUAUCCGCAUGAUCCUUAAAUUUUAAUGGUGGCAUGCCUUUUGUCAAAAGAUCAACAAUCAUUGAUUCAGUAUUAACAUGUUCAAUGACCAAAAAGAUCAACAAUCAUUAAUUCAGUUCCUUAUGGCUAGAUACUUUAUAUCGAUGUACUUGCUUCAACUAUCAUUUUGUUGUUCUUAGCCAUAAAGACUGUAAUACCUUAAUUUAGUAAAAAACAAAACAAAUAAAAAAAAGGAAGAAAAGCCAAAGAUGUCAUAAAAAAAUAAAAAUAAAAAAAUUAAAACAAUUAAAAAAUAAUUUAGCAGGCGGUGGACCAAAGUCAUCCAAAUCCAUCCCAUUUAUAUAUAUACAAUGCAAAUCCAUUAUUCACAAAAAACGUACACAGAGCCUGCACAAGAAAAACGAGGAGGAGAGAAAAAAAAGGAAGAGAAAAGAGAAAGGAAAAAGAAGAAAAAAAAAAGGAGAGAAGAGGAAGAAAAAAAUAGAAAAGAAAAAAAAGGGGAGAAGAGGAAGAAAAAAAUAGAAAAAUUCGCCUAUGUUGUUAGAAAAUUAAGUGGUUUACAUUAUUAGGCUUGAAUUCCACAAUUUUGAAAGGUAAGUAAAAAGUUACUUAUUGUUAAGUUAUGUUUGAUUUUAUAGUUGUUAUAUUGUUAGACUAAAUUCAAUUUUAUUGAAGGGGUUAAGUAUAAUAAACUAUAAAAUUUAGUAAAGUGAAAGAAAAACUAGUUUUAGUGAUUAAAAAGACUGUAGAAAUCGCUUAAACGUGAAAUGAUUAAGUUUGGGUGCUGCCUAUUUAAUUAUUGAAAUUAUUUAAAAUAAUUAAUUGUUUAUUUAAAAAUUAUAUUGUAUUUCAGGCGACGAUACUAACAUCAGAAUAGCUUACCAACCAGAUUGAUUUUGCGAACAUAGUACUGUGAGUGGAAAAAUAUAAAUAUUUUCAAAGUAUUUAUAAAUUAAGUAUAUUGUUAAAGUAUUGCAAUUAUAUGCAAUUAUGUGUUCGAAUCACAUGAUUAUUAUGGAAAUAUCUUUUAUUAUGAUACAUGUGGAAUUUCAAGGAUUAUUUAUUGUACGUUUGUGACUUUGUAUAUGAGACAUGUGAUAUUGAGAUUUGUUUGGUAUGUGGGACGUGAUAUUGAAAUCGACCAGAAAAGUACUCGCGAUUAUGUACUUCUUCUAGUUCACAGAAGGGCCUUGGCCGUAUUCUAUCCUACACGAAGGGUUUAGACCUGAUAUUGAUUUCGAUCGUGUAUAUAUAGUUCACAGAGGGAUCUUGGCCGUGUUAUAUAAUUAAUUAUGAGAGGUCUUUGAGAUCGACUUUCGUUCACGGAGGGGCUAAAAGCUCGUGGCGAAAGUUUUUAGCCUGAGAGGCGAAUUAUAUAUUUCAGUCAGAUGGUACAUUUUUGGUGGAUUUUUCAGUAUGUUUGAUGCGAUGAGAUUAUAGUGUGGUUAUUAGCUGAUAUUUAUAUCAUAAUUUUGGGAUGAUAUUUUACGAUCUUAUGUGAAUAUUUCACUUUUGGUUAUUUACAUGAUGUUAUCUUGUGAAUUAUUAAAUGAUAUGAACUUGAUUUUCGAUAGAAAUGUAAAAUUGAAAAAGUAUAAUUAUUUUCGAACUUCUCCAUUUACUGAGCUAUCAACUCAUAUUUUUUCCCACGAUUUUUCCUACAGGUAGCAAUUAAUUCUUUUUAGUUGGAAGAGCCUAAUGAUUUCGAAAUGAGAGCCACACGACAUGUUGAAUAUUAUAACUCAUAUUGAUGAAGCACGAAGUAAAUAUUUUGGGCCCAUCGCAUUAUAUUUUAUAUAAGCAUUUGAUUUUGUUGCAUUUUUUUUUUUGAAAUAACUCAUAGUCAGCCUUGGUGAUAGAUUUGACAUCUAAUCAGCAUCUAUUAUCGGCGCACGACACGUUUUGGGUCCACUAGGGUGAUUUGGGACGAAUCAUGUCAAAGACUGCAGUUGAAUUAUCACAAUGUAUCGUCAAUGGCUUAGAGAUUGAAUCCACGAUUCUAAGCCCGUAAAUGAAACUCUUCAUCCAAACACCAUGCAAGGUAACCUCAAACCAAUAUAAGAACUUAGUUCGUCUAUAUAUAAGCAUGUAAUUUUGGUCCCUUGACUUCCAGUACAUGGGUCCACAGUGAUAUAAGAACUCAAAAUAUUUCGGUUAUAUCAAUAUUCAAUAGUCAAAAAUGUUAUUAAAAUAUUCCAAAAUAAUAACAUAACCAAUUUGUCUCAAAAUAUUUCGUUUAUAUCAAUAUUCAAUAGUCAAAAAUGUUAUUAAAAUAUUCCAAAAUAAUAACAUAACCAAUUUGUUAUGAAAAGGACCUGGAAAUCUGCACCAUUUUUGACCAACUCACUAUUUGAUAAUCACGUGCAAUAAGAAAUUGGCAGAAUUGAUCUUUGCAAAACUUAACAGUACAACAGUAGCCUUAUUUCAUGUGAGUGGAAGCCUCUUGUUUUGUUUGUUUUUUGCCUUUUUUUUUAAUUAUUACUUUCUAUGGUUUGUCUUCAACCGGGUCAUUUUGGCCCGAUUUCAACGCAAUGAAAAACCUGACGGUUUCUCUAUCUUCCGGACACCAAAAAUUACAUUUCAAAUCCCAGAAAUGUUAGAAAUAUGAUUUCCUGAUGAUUCUUAUCCUUAUUUCCAUAAAAAAAACUAUGAAAUAAGAUUUUGAAAUCUUUAGAAAAAUUUCUGAAAAAAUUGCAAAGAAUUUACCGAGCAAGGCACAGGUAAAUAUGACUUUGAUACCUACUGUUAGACUUUACCUUGAUCUAUAAUGUGUAGAUAAAUAGGCAACAUAUAGAUCAAAUGGUGAAAAUAAAUAACAGAAACUAACAUCCAGCCAUUGAUCUUCAAAAUACCAAAUUUCAGAUUAUGGUUGGUGCUUCCAAGUCUUCAAGACCUUUCUGCAAUGAUGCAAUUUCGUGAGUGUCUUGACUUGGGGACCAAUAGCACUACUUCCCUUUAUAAACUUCUUACCAUCAAAGGAGUUACAAAAUAUGAACGAUUAGGGAAAAUGGACAGUUAUGAGAUGGUGUUUAAUAUCCAAUAAAUGAGGGAAAUGAUGGACCAUUAAAAAAUGCAAAAUGUUUACAUGUUUUGGAUAGAAAAAAAAGUAUAAUUCUAUACAAAAACCGAUAGGGGAUGGGAAAAGGGGUUUCACAACUUGAGAAUUAGAGAAAAUUACAUCUAAGAAAAGGAAGAAAUCAAGGGUUUGAAGCAUUGAUUUGGGCAAGAAGUGCAUCUUGGUGAAAGAGUCAUCAACUUCUGUAUAUCUUAAUUAACAAUCUGGUGAUGUACUUGAUUAUUAUUCUUUGUUUUUCUUCAUCCAUUAUGCAUAGCUAAAUUUUUUGUUAAAGCUAACAAUGUUGAUUAUCGAGACCCUUUAAUUCAAUUUUCAAUAUUUUAGUUUUCAAUUUCAUACGUGUUGAUUUUAUUUAAAGUGUUUAUUGCUUGAAAUACUUGGCCAAUAAUUCAUUGAUCUUGUGAAUUUAUAAUCAGUCAAGAAGUGAGUUAUAGGUUUAGACCACGUAGUAAAAUUCAAGUGGUACAGAAAUGUAAAAUUUGGGAACUGGUAUAAAAGUGUUAAGAUACAUUCCAAUCAAUGCACUUGUUAUAUAGAUUCUUAGCAAUUUGAUGGGUUUAAGUAAGAUGUAUCCGAAUUCACAUAAAGAUAUGAAAUUGACUUAGUUAGAUAGAAUCAAAUUGAACUCGACAGAAGUAAAUUGAAUACAUUAUAGGAAUUCGAUAAAACACUACAAUAUGUUAUGAAUCUUGAUUAGAGAAUUAAAGAUGAAUAAUAUAUUAAAUUGUGUGCCCUAAUAUUCCUUUUAUAUUCGAAUAGCAUUCAAGUUAGUUAGUAUAAUUAAGAUCAACAAUCACCAAUGAUAAAUCGUUUUCAUCAAAUAGAAAUAGAAAUAGUAAAUUAGGAAUAAAUAAUGGUCUCUGUGGGAAUGAUUAUCUAGCCUCAAAGGUCCAUUGUAUUAUUUGUUCCAUAUCGUACACUUGCGAGAGAAAAAGUACAAGAAGUUUUUUGCAUCAUUGUUAGGGACUUAUUUACAUUUAAUUUUAGUUUAUUCUACUUUGACUUAUAGAUAAAAUGAUGUCCGUUGUAUGCUCUGAUCUAAAUGUGAGAAUCUUGAACAAUUUGAUCCAAAAAUAGAACGCACCUUUAGACAAAGACAUAAGGAACACAAACAAAAAUAGAAAUAUCAGAUGGCAAAAAAAUAGAAUAUUUUGAGGUUGUCAAAUUGCACAAUAAGUUGCCAAGAUGGCAGAACCACCAAUUUAACAUCGCAAACAAGUUGAGGUAGAUGAAGGAGACUUGACAAUGUCAACGUUCUUUAACUCCUAUAAUAGCGUCUAAGCACUCCAGUAUUAUAUAUCUAUCCAAAUUUCAGGUAGAAAACUUUCAGAUAAAGGCCGAAUUGAUUAGCUUGACCAGUAAUACACUCCAGUUCUAUGGGUUGCCUUAUGAAAAACCAAACACAUCUCAAAAUUUAUUUGAGAGAAUAAGACCUCUUAACAAUUAUUAGCUUGGUUGACUAUUAGAGAUCGAAGCAAUAAAAAUUUGGAGAAUCCUUAUUUGUUGAAAUAUUAACUUGCAUAUGGUGAAAUAUCAACAAAAUUUGAGAGUGAAAGAAAGAGUAAGCCAGUCUUAGAAGGAGCGCCUUGAGUGAGUAAUUGAAAAAUGAUUUUGAGAGUGUCCAUCUCAUGAGAAAAGAGAGAAAUAAUUUACCAUUGAGGGUCACAAAGGGUCCAACUUUAAAAAGGGUAUGUGACUAAAUUGAUUAUGCACAUAUACACAUUGGAUGAGCAUUAGACAAGUUAAACUAUGUUUUUGCAGCAAAAAUUAGAAGUUUUUUUUUUUUUGGUUUGUGAAUUACUUGAGUCGUUUCAAAUCCCGAGGCAAAAUACGUCGUGCUAUUUAACUUGUUAAUUGUUGUUUACAUGUUUGUUGGGUAGAUAAACUUGCUCGGGACAAACAAGAGUUUAGGUUUAAGGAUAUUUGAUAAGCGUGUUUAACACACUUAAUUAUGCUUUUAAUCUUGAUAGAUUAUAAUAUAUUUGAGGGAAUCUCUACCUAAUUAUGUAAAAUAAUGUGAUUUGUAAAAAAAGUUCGAAGUUGAGCGUAAUUGAUACAAAAAAUGAUGAUUUUGAGCAUAAUUGGAGAUUAAUUUGGGCUCUUGAAGAUCAUUUGGGAUUGGGAUUAAUCAACUGGAAGAAGAUAUUGGAGCAAUUGGAUGAAUUCAUAAGAUUAAGCACAAUAAAUUGACAAUUGGAAAGUUUGGGGGAUCAAAAUAGAAGUUUUAGAAAGUUGAGGACUAAACUAAAAAGUGGAAAUUAGGCCACAGGUGUUCCUUGGUUUGCGAACUAGUGGCCCACGAUGCUCCCAUGGCCAAUGAUUUUCCCUGUAUGUCUCAGGUAGGCCACGUGUUUGCUAUUCGAGGCCGACCUGCGACAACCUCCGUUUGGGUGUUUUAACAUUUUUUAAUUUUCUUCUAGUCUUUUGAGUUUCUUUUGGAUGAAAACUCUUCUAAAAAGUAGAAUACUAUAUAAAGACCAAAAGGAGAAUGAGAAAAAGAGUCCCAAAACUUAAGAAUUAGAGAAAAACACAUCGAAAAAACAAAAAAUAAGGAUUUGAAGCAUUAAUUUGGACAAGAAGUGCAAGAUUCAUUUUCGUUACAUCUUAAUUAAAAAGCCAAUGAUGUACUCAACUAUUAUUCUUUGUUUUUCUUAACUGUUAUGCGUAGCUAAACCUUUUGUUUGGGUGAACAAAGUAAUUUAUUGAGGAUCUUUAAUUCAAUUUUUAAUGUUCUAGUUCUCAAUUUCAUAUGUGUUGAUUUUAUUUAUAGUGUUUAAUGCUUGAAUUACUUGGAGAGUAAUUCAAUGAAUUUAUAAUGAGUCGAGAGGUGAAUUAUAGGUUUAAACCAUGUAGUAAAAUUCGGGAACUAAUAUAAAAGUGUUAAGAUUAUAAUCAAUGUGGUUGUUACCUAAAUCUUUAGCAAUUUAAUGCGUUUAACUAAGGUUAUCCGGAUUCACAUAGAGAUAUGAAAUUGAUUAGUUAAAUAUAAUCAAUUUGAAUUCGAGAGAGGUAAAUUGAAUACGUUAAAUAUAUUUGAUUGAACACUAUAUUAUAUUAUGAAUCUUGAUUAGAGAAUUAAAGGUCAUCGAAAAAUAUAAUUAUGCACCCUAAUAUUCCUUCCAUCUUCAAAAACCUAAUUCAAUUAUUGUGCACGUUCUAACAACAUUCAAGUUAGAUAGUAUAAUUUAGAUUAACAAUCAACAAUCAUAAAUUGUUUUCAAUGAAUAGAAGUAGAAAUAAUAAACUAGGAAUAAAAAUAAUAGUAUCCAUGGAAACGAUUAUUUGGACUCAACGGUUUGUUAUACUACUUGUCCGAUAUUGUAGACUUACAAUAGAAUAAAAACCAACUAUAUACGAUGAUUUAUACUAUCACUGGGGCUUCUAAACCACAUCACAUUUUUUUGGCUCUUCUUCUUCUACUAUAGGCUUCGUUAGGUGCUCUAGAGGCAAAUGUUUCAUCAAUUUAGAAUCAAGACAGCCAUUUAGAUUUAAAUAUGGAUUUUGCAUAAUUGUUGUCCUUGUGUAGGAUCUGUAUAAACCAACACACUUCAAUUUACUUUAAGGAGUUAAUCACUUUCUUCAAAUAUAUGUCUAUCGUCUAUUUGCAAACCACAAAGCUUCCAUUAAUUUGUUUCCCCCAAAGAUCAUGAGCAAAAUGUCUCGCAUCUGAUGUAGGUUCUCUUUUUGACCUGUCAACAUGCAAUUUCAGUGUUGGGAUUUCCACAGGUUCUCUGUGUAGAAUCUGCUCUAGGUGAUGCACAAACUCUACAACAAAGUUUUCUAAGGCAUGCAUUUUAACUGAAGCUCAUGACUUAAAGUUGAUUUUAAAUUGGUUAAAUUGGUUGUAGCUUUCUAGAUGCAAUUACUCGGGAUAGUGCAAGCUUCUUGAUAUAAGGGUACCUCAUUGUUGCACCAUGUAAGGCCUUACUUAGUGGGUGGGUUGGUAAAUUCCAUUCGUCAUAACCAUACUUUCAUAUGAUAUCAAUUAGGUAAUUUUACCUUAAUUUGAUUUAAAUUGGGUAACUUCAUCCAAUUCUACCGCUUGAACGAAUGGAAAUUGAUGACUUGAUAGUAAAUGUAUGAUGUUUAUCAUUUAUUUUACUAGUACUUAUUCUACAUUAACAACUAACAAUUGAGUAUGAUAACUGUUGACUUCAAAAAAUAGAAAUUAUUUUCUUAAGCUAAAGGUAGAGUUUUUUUUGCCACAAUUUUGGUAGAGUUUUUCCUCUUUUAAGGGAUGUGGGUAUCUUUUUAAGCAAAUUGCUUAUAGAAACAAGAAAUACGGAGUUUUCGUAAAACUUUGGCUUAAAACUGCCCUUCAAUUGGAGAAUGCUAUGAUUUUCAAGAGUGCCAACCACCCUUAAUUUUGCCCUGAUUCGAGGUGGCAUUUUUAGUGAGUUUGAAGAUUGGAUAUUCGAUUUUCAACCUUUUUUUAGUUGUGUAAAUGGUCCUACGUGUUUAGGGGAUUUUUGUUUAUUUUAGAAUUUGACACUCCUAAGCAUGUUUAAUGUCAUGAUUAAUUCCAAUUUUUGACAUUGUUCAAACAAUUUAUUAUGUGCAUCCAUGGGUUAAUGGCCCAAGGAACUUCUGGUGGCUGAGGCCUUUAAUUGCGUUCUUAGCCAAGUAUUUGAAUCCUGUGUGUUUCGUUUCUAAAUGGUACUUUUUUGGUCAAGGCAUGUUUCACUUCAACUGAUCCAUGUAGCCAUGUUGUGAAUAUUUAGAGACAUGUGGCCACGUAAUGGGUCCUUUAUGGUCCUAUUGGAUCAUAAUUACUUUUAGUCCAAUGCUACUAACGAGGCACGGUAAUUCGAUCCACGGAUACUUUUUUAAUUCGAGGAUGUUGACAAGGCAAAGAAAUCCGAUCUUAGAUACUCUUUUAAGGUGGGACGAUAAAUGAUGUAUAAUCUUCCAAUCUUGAGAAAAUUUGUUCAUGCAGGUUGAAGAAGGUAAGUCCAUGAUAUGUUUUUAGCUUAGCUCCGCUACCCAUUAUUUGUUUGUAGAAGAUAGUCUUUCAUUUCCCAAGUUGCCCUCGAUUGGAGAUACUCUGUUAAUCCCAAAGAAAUUUUGGCAAAAGAUCCGACUUCAAAUAUCAUUCAAUUUGAGGUAUUGGUAUUGUUUAUUCAAGAUAUUUGUUCAAUUCUCAAAGUGCUCUCGAUUGGAUAUAUUCUUCCAAUCCUCAAGAGAGGUUGUUUGCUAAAGGCCAAGGAUGGUAAGUCCACUUUAGGUUCUUAGCUUAGCUUCCUUGUCAAGCCUUUAUGUAAAUUUCCUAUAGGUUAAUUGAGCGGCCUAAAUAGGACAUUGACUCUUCCACUGGGUUUUCAAUUUCAAUAGAGAACCAAUAAUCCUCGAGUGGAUAGAAGCCUAGCGAAAACGUCAACUUUCUCAUUAGGUCUUCAAAUAUAAUAGAUAACAUCUCAUUUGGAGAUGAGACCUUUCGAAUAAUGAACUUAAAUGCAAGGCUUGCCUCAAAUUCAUGCAUCAAUGAUGAUCCAUUAAAAUGCUUGGAAGUCCAGUAGUCACCAUCAAGGACACACACCUUGCCCUUUUCCUUGUCGUCAAAUAAUUAGGAGACACAAGAUCGAGGUCCUAUAGCUUAUCAACAGUUGUAGCACAUUAUUCUAUGACACUAAUCUUCCAAUCAAAGAUUAAUGUCCUCCUCGUCUCAAUAUUGUCCGUUAACCAAUCAAUUGGCGAUCAAGUAAUUGAAUAUCAAUAAACAAACAAAAGAAAUUAACAAAUUAUCGAAGCUGAAAGAAAUUUUUAAUUAAAUUAACAGUAAGUCUAAGCUACGCGUUAUCCUAACAACGAAUUAUCUAGUUGCUUAUAAUUGUGAAACUAAACAUCCGAAGUUCAAAAACGUCGUCAGAUUCAUUACUAUGAACUAAAAAAAUAAUACAAUCUAUUGUUGAUAUUUACCAUGGGAAUUCUCAUAAUGGAUCUUUGACCUCUUUCUUGAUAAUUAUAUAUCUCUUAACAAAUUGAUGAAGUUCAGCAUUCAAAUCCCAAUUUAGAGCCACAAAUCUUGAGAAUUAAGUAUGAGAAAUUGUAAUUUGCCUGAAGACGGGCAAAUUAUCUAAACUUGUGCCACGUUUGAUAAAUAAUCAUAGGUUAAGAAAUCUGGCUCACAUGUGCCGUUGCAAUCGCAAUGGUUGAAGGUAAAUAAAUUAACUGUAAAUCAAAUUUGCAUCCUUGUGAUCGUUAAUGAAUAGAUGGCUGCGAUUGCAAUGACUGCGUUCUUUCCAUUCUAUGCAAUUUGGUCCUUGAUUUUGUCUCCUUGUUCAACCUAAGUAGCCCAAUAUUUGCAAUAAAUGUCCUUCAACUUCCAAACUUGAUACUUUGGUUCUCAAAUUGAGAAUUCCAUUCUUUCUGAUCGAUUCUCGUCUUUUUAUCCUUUCUCAUCCAGUGAUGAUUUUUCUUCUAAAAUGUCUAUAACACACAAAAUUAAGCAUCUAGCUCAUAUCUUUUUGUGGCAUAGUCCUUUAAUAAAACAAAAUAGUCCACCAUGGGGACUGAAAUUCUUCUUGAUGCUAUUUUUUUUUAAAUAAUAGCCAGUACUUUGUGAUUUUCAAUACCGUCUUUGUUGUUUCUGGAAGUCAUUAUGUUAAUGAAAAAUGGCUUGGCGACAUUGCUAAUAAAUGAGUCUGUUCUUUGUCUAACUCUAUUCCUUUUGUCUGUGUGACAUCCGGGACAAAAGAAACUGCUUAGCUUCGAUAGAUAAUUUAUUAUUAUUAUUAUUAUUUAUUAUUAUUAUUUUUUAAAUUUUAAAAUUACUCAAGGUAAUUUGAAGAACAUUUUGAACCAAGUGAUGUUUCUAGAGUAGGGUUAUUAGGGUAUCCUAAAACUGGGUGGGUCGGGGUUCUAUCAAUUUGUUUUGCACACAUUAGGGGGUAAUUUGCAUUUCAACAUUAAAUGUUUGCAAUAUUAUUUUUCCAUAUUUCCAGACUGCUUAUUUAUUUCCACAAUGUCGUGAUUGCAGUGAUUGCUACCUAAGUUGAUGAUCAACUUCAUGCUUUAGUCGGGACAUAAUGCACUGUUUCACAAUAUAAUUUCUUAAAAUAGAUGUGUACAUUUGUUUACAUAUUAUUUUGUUAAUAUCAGCAUCCUUUGAUUAAAAUUUUAGGUAUUGUCUUUUCAUCUUUAUUCCAUCUAACAAUUCUCCACUAAUAUUGGUUGGUCAAACGAAGUGUGAUCUCAAGUUGUACUCAGAUUUCUUGUUUGCUACAAUUUUGCAACUAGCUGUAAUUUCUUCUCCCGGUUGUCGAUGCAAAUUGUAUGUUGCCUUCAUACAUGCCUUUUUUUCACUUUUCUGCUUAUAGACUUCCAAGUCUAAUCUACUUCUGUUGCUUGGUUGCAGUCAGCUUUCUGCUUGUCUAGGUUAAAAAGCAAUAUAAUUUUUUCCAAAUUCGUAGAAUGUUUUAAUAAUUUUCGAAUAUCUAUUUGAUAACCUUUAUUACAUUCCAUUGUGAUUCUGAAACCACCCUAGUCAUCUGAAUAUGAGACUGCCAUUGGUGAUGAAUAUUCACUGAUUGGCGUAGAUUUGUACCAAGAACUUGCAUGACCAUUGCUUAUAGUAAUACAUGUGCUUUUUCUGGAACGGGAACACCUAGAUUUGGUCCUUCACUGUUGUAGAUGGUACAUAAGCUUUUUGGUGGAUAUACAGUCCAUAAAUUUUUAGUACAAUAAUAUAUAUCUUCGUCCAAACUGCACAACACAAGGCCAUGUUACAGAUAGGUUCUGGAGACACAGAGAAAUAAUAAUUAAGAAAAACAAUUUCUUCAUUUAUGGGUCUUCAACAUGACGGGAUGAAUUAAUUAGAGUCAACUCGUGAAUUGUAAAGCUGAACCAAUCUUACCAUGAUUUCUUUCAAUCGUUACUUUUGUAUGGUAUUGCUACAACAUGUUGACUUAAUUAUGUUCUCUUCCUAACUGCCAGGCUCUUUGUAGAUUACCAUUUAUCGAUGAAUGUUGCCUUCUUUUUGAGAUUGCAAAAGUGGAACAUACAUUGACGAUAACACCUAAGUGACAAUGACUAAUGCAGAUAAAGCAAUUCAUCUUAACCUACACUACAACAAAAACAACUUUUUACGACAUUCAUUUACGGCAUGCAUCUACAGCAUGCCGUAAAAAGAGACUAAUUACGGCAUACUCUAUAUGAAUGCCGUAAAAACUUAAUUAAUUAAAGUAUUUAUGGUGAACAUCCUCUGCACGCCAUAUUAAAUGAGCAUUUACGACGUGCAUAUAGUGCACGCCGUGUAUUGUAAAAGAUAUGAAAUUUACAAAGCCUAAACGUCAUUUCUCCCAAUUGCCAUCCCUUCAACACUACCUCUCCACAACUUCGCCCCGACGCCACAGCUCUCUCUUGUCUCUCUCUGCCUUCCACCGCCGACCAACGGAACCCCGCUCUCACUCUCGUCUCUCUCCCUUUACUUCGACGUCUACGUCACCGUUGGUGUCAAUAGGGUAAGUAAUUACUUUUUUGUCUUCAGGAUUCGAGUUUCAAAUUAGAAUAUGGGCUGUAAAUCCUGAAAUCCAAACCUAACAUUUCAUCCCCUCUCUCACUCGAUGGAUGACAGCUCUUUGGGACUCUCACUCUCAAAGUCUCUAUCGACUACCUGGGCACCAUCUACAGAAGAAGGUAUAAGUGCUGAUUUUAUUUUCUACCAAUUAGUAAAAAUUAGUAUCUGGUUGUACAUUUAGGAUUAAUCUAUUAGGAAGAAAGGAUUUGAGAAAAAUAUACUGUAAAUUAGGAAUGGAUUAUAAUUUAUUUGUUUAUAAUUUAUUAUGCAUUUAUUUGAUGGGAUGCGUUAGAUUAUUGAAUAAUUAACAAGCUAUAAAUUUUAUACUAUUUGUGUUACCUUGCUUGAACUUCUGUCAUUCAAGUACUUAUAUGGAUGAUUUAACAUCCUUUUUAACUUAUGAUUUUCUUUAUACUAAACUUGCCUUGCCUCGUCCAUAUGUUCUCCUUGUAGUAUUUGAUUUUCUUAUACUAAACUUGUCUUGCUCUUAUGUUGUUCGGGAUAUUGCCGUGGCUCUUGGUUUGAUGGCAAUUGCUUUGCAUUUCAGUAGUUGGACUUUUGCCCUGUGUAUUGGUUUGCGCAGGGGACAAUUUUCUGGGCAAUUUUUGUUAUUGGCCAUGAUUGGUAAUCCCUUUUUCCUUUCUCAAUAUCUACUAACUUUAUAUAUCUAAUACAAAAACAAAGUGUCUAUUAAGAUUAAUGAGAUUUGAUUGAUUGGUGAGACUGUCUGAUAUAACAAAAUUUUACUUUCACUGUCAACACAAGUAACGGCUAUGAAAAGAACGGAGUUGUCUAUGAUUGGUGUCUUUGUUGAUUAUAGUGGCCAUGGGAGCUUCUCCGAGAAUCUCAAUCUCAAUAAUAUCGUGGGACACAUCUUGCAUUCUUCCAUUCUUGUAACGUACCAUGGAUGGUUAGUCUUGAAAAUAUCUCCAAUCCAUAAUGUAAUGCUGUAGAAAACUGAUGUUCUUAUUUAUGUUAACAUUAUAGGAUAAUCAGCCUCAGGACUCACCAUCAAAAUCAUGGACAUGUUGACAACGACGAAUCAUGGGUACCAGUAAUGUUUUCCAUAGAUUCUUGAGCUUUUCUUGAUUCAUGGGUACAUGACAAUUUUUGUUUGUCUUUCUUUUAAGAAUCUGUGGGUAAUUUGUGGCUAUGAUUUCUUAACUGGAUGGUCUAAUUUGUGUCCCUGCCAUUUCUUUUCUCAUUCCAGUCUACAAGAGCCUGGAUUUGUCAAUCAAAUUCCUCAGAUAUAAAGUCCCUUUUCCCCUUUGCAUAUCCCCGGUAUCUGGUAAGGUUGCCUGUGAGAUUAUUACAGUUAAAAAGAAAUUUUAAGUGUACUUUUUUGAUAACGUGGCGACAUUGGACGUUACCAGACAUAAUAAAAGGAUCAUGUCCUGCUCAAUACUUAUGUAGAAUGGAUUGGACAAUCCUCACACGAUUAAGAGAGUGUUGCUUAACUAAACUUGUGUUUUGUUGGUCUUGUAUUGCAAUGGUCUAGGAGUCCAAGGAAGAAAGGUUCACACUUCAAUCCUUACAGUGAUUUGUUCAAAAGCAGUGAGAGUUCUAACACCACCGCCCCAGUGGAUAUUGGUGGGACAUGCCAGAUGUGUUCUCCCUCUGAGAAAAAAUUGAGGCCAUGGCUCUAGAGAAUUUUGAUUAUAUAUGGAAAAAGGAAGAAAUUACAAAAGGGAGGAACUUACAAAUUUACUAGAAAAAUGUUAAAUCUGAAGACUCCAGUGAUAACUUCGAGGCAGAACCAUUUGGUAGAAUAUAUAGUGGAGCAACACUUCCAUCUGUGUCUUUGGCUUCUUAGAAUUAUUUAGACACAAUCUACAUUUUAUUUUCAUUUUGUAAUAAAUUGUACUUUUUUUUGUUUAUAGAAAUUAUGGAAAACGUCAUUACGAAUGUAUUAAUGUAUGUAAUUUUGUUCUUUAAUUAUUUUAAUUAUUAUAGGUUUGAUGGCAAUCAAAUGAAUAAAAAUUUGAAAAUAAAAAUAAAAAAUUGAUGUUUAGGACUCUUUUACGGCUUGCACGUGUAUGCCAUAAAAUGAGACAUCUUUUACGGCAUGCAUAUGUAUGCCGUAAAGAGCACAUCUUUUUAUGGCGUGCAAAUGCAUGCCGUAAAAAGUCUAUCAACGGCGCACAUUCCCUUUUAUACGGCAUUCAUUGUACGCCGUAAAAAAUUGAGUAUUUACGGCAUGGCUUUAUUACGGCGUUCACGUGUAUGCUGUAAAGAACUUUUUACGGCAUGCAUUGUAUGCCAUAAAAAGCAAAUGAUGUUGUAGUGCUAGUUCCUGUUUGGAGAAUUAUUUUCUCUGCAUUUGCAUUUCUGCUUUAUGCGUCUGCGAGAUAUUUAUUUUCUGAAUUGUAUCGUUGUAAUUUAGGAUGAAGAAAAGCGGAGAAACAGUUUGGGUAUGGAUAAACUGUAUGUUCAUGUCUCGCAUCCUUUAGCGUCAAAGAUCUUGGCCUUCUAUGAACGGAAUAAGGGCAAUCUAAAGUUGUCUAAAGCUAAAAUAAAGAGGAAAAUCGACCCUAAAUUAAGGUAGGAUAUCCUAACAUUAAUAAAUUGCAUAUCUUUAUUGGUAUUUGUAUGUAAUUUGGUAUUGAGUGUAGUUUACUUUUGUGACAAAGUCUCAACCAUAGUUCAAAGCUGUGUAUUAUAUCCUGAAAGUUUUUAUUUUUUUAUUUUCCUUCAUUUCAGAUCCGUCUUCUAUAAAUUUCCUCCUUUUCAUCCUCACAUGCCUAAACCACCUGAUGGAGUCAUAAUGCCUGGAAAGGUAAACCAUGUUUAUUGCUUUACCAUAUUUUGCUUCUACAUUUAGUAGCAAGAAAUUUCAAGCCAAAAGAAAAAAAAAAGUAAAAUAUAUAAAAGGAACUGUUUUAAGGCAAGAAGAGUUUUGAUGAUAAUUAUUUCCUAUUUUCCUCCUGGUGGUGACAAACUGAGCCAACUCCCAUAGUGCAGGAAAUAACGUCUGAUAUCCACGAUCCCAUAAGAAAAA
rnacentral:lncRNA from 1 species